GCGGGAUUAGUAUAGUGGCAGUACUUGACCUUCCCAAGGUUAGGGCGCCGGUUCGAUUCCGGUAUCCCGCU
rnacentral:tRNA from 1 species